AAUAAAAUGCCUGAAAAAAGGAUUACUUUGAUAGAGUAAAUCAUGUAUUAAAAUUACUUUUAUUA
rnacentral:tRNA from 1 species